GCAUGUUUGCCAACACUCUGGUGCCAUAUCAUCCUUUGCUAUUUAUAGCUUAGAAUGCCAUAUUUGGUUCCUAUUUUGGUGCAAACUAGAAUAUUUUUAGCUGACUACUCACCAUUAUACUCCUUUUUCCACUAUGGGUAUGAUCAGGUCCAUUUCAUUAGCUUACAU
rnacentral:snoRNA from 1 species